GACAUAGGUUGCGAACGUUAUCCGGAAUUAUUGGGCGUAAAGGAUGCGUAGAUGGUUUGAUAAGUUAUCAGUGGCAAAUCGGGGCUCAACCUCGUGGAAGCUGGUAAUACUGUCAUACUUGAGUUCAGGAGAAGUUAACGGAACUCUAUAUGGAGCGGUAAAAUGUGACGAUAUAUAGAAGAACACCAAUAAGGCGAAGGCAGUUAACUAUUCUGUUACUGACAUUGAGGCAUGAAAGCGUGGGGAGCAAAACGG
rnacentral:rRNA from 1 species